rnacentral:rRNA from 1 species
AGAGUUUGAUUCUGGCUCAGAACGAACGUUGGCGGUGUGGAUUAGGCAUGCAAGUCGCGCGCGAAAGUCUUCGGACGAGUAAAGCGGCGGACGGGCGAGUAACGCGUAAUCAACCUGCCCCCGAGACUGGAAUAGCCACUGGAAACGGUGGGUAAUGCCAGAUGGCCCCCCGGAUCGGCAUCGGUUCGUGGGUAAACGGUGGCGAAAGCUACUGCUUGGGGAGGGGAUUGCGUCCUAUCAGCUAGUUGGUGGGGUAAUGGCUCACCAAGGCGAUGACGGGUAGCUGGUCUGAGAGGACGACCAGCCGCACUGGGACUGAGAUACUGCCCAGACUCCUACGGGAGGCUGCAGUCGAGAAUCUUCCGCAAUGGGCGAAAGCCUGACGGAGCGACACCGCGUGCAGGACGAAGGCCCUCGGGUUGUAAACUGCUGUCACGCUCUAGGAAUGCCGUGUCGUUAAUAGCGGCACGGUUGACCAAGGCGAGAGGAAGUGGCGGCUAACUCUGUGCCAGCAGCCGCGGUAAU